GGACAAUUAGCUCAGUUGGUUAGAGCGUUCGCUUCACACGCGAAAGGUCGUAGGUUCGACUCCUACAUUGUCCA
rnacentral:tRNA from 1 species